UACGUAGGGUGCAAGCGUUAAUCGGAAUUACUGGGCGUAAAGCGUGCGCAGGCGGUUUCGUAAGUCCGUCGUGAAAUCCCCGGGCUUAACCUGGGAAUGGCGAUGGAGACUGCGAGGCUAGAGUUUGGCAGAGGGGGGUAGAAUUCCACGUGUAGCAGUGAAAUGCGUAGAGAUGUGGAGGAACACCGAUGGCGAAGGCAGCCCCCUGGGUCAAGAUUGACGCUCAUGCACGAAAGCGUGGGGAGCAAACAGG
rnacentral:rRNA from 1 species